ensembl:lncRNA
ACCAAAAUGCACUCUGAUGUUUGUUUCCAUCACAUUGUGUACUCUCCCAAACAGCAGUGAGCUUUCUUACUGUAGGACUUUCUUUUGCACCUGUUGUUGUAGGACUCGAGUAUCUCUCUGGUAGUUUACCUUGUAUGUUAUUGGACAAUGUACUGUACAAAUUAGUGAGCUGCUCUGAUAAAAACCAAAUGUAAAUGUGUGAAGUUUUUGCUUUUUAUAAAAGAACUGCAUUCAGGACAACAUUCAGUCUUUUUUAUAUGCAGGACAACUCUACUAUUGCUAUGGCAGCUCAAGUUUAUGAAUCCACACUAAAGACUCAGAGUUAAGAAAAUAUGUCAACUCUUGUUCUGAGACCAGCUUUGAUGUGUGCAGACAAAAAUUAGCCUUAAAUUUUUUAUGUGCUGUCUUGUGCCAUAGCAUAGCUGUUAGCUUAAGUAUUUAAAUCGAUUUGCAAAUAGCUUUGAGAAUGCAUGGAGCUUUUUAAAAACUCUUUUAUGUAUAGGGUGGGAUAUUCAUUUUUGGAGGGAGCUGCCCUGUGCAUUACACAAGCACCGUUUUACUGAAAGAGUUCAAAUUCUUUUGGCUUACUUAAAAUCCUAACUAUGCAUAGACCUAGUCAGUUCCCCGAUUGCCUACUUUGUAGCUUGAGAAAAAGCAAAAGUCUAUUUUUAUGCACAACUUGAUGCAUUUGAUAUUCUUGUUCUCUUGAUGUGCUACACUUCUAGCCACACUUAAAGGCUGGUGGUUGUGUUCAAUAACACUGACAAUUGAUUUUGAGAUAUACUAAAUGCUAUUACUCCAGUUGUAAUUUCUACUUAAAUCACAAGGAAGGAGUUCAUUGUAACAAAGUCCAUGGUCACAGAUGUGAUAAUUAGAAUUGUUUUUUCAAAAACUCAAGGCACAGAGGAAGAGGGCUCCUUUGGUAAAGUUUGGCCUGCAUCAGCUAUUCUUUGCUUGCUUGGUGCCAUAAUCCUGUAGUAUUUAAGUACUUGGAAAAGUAACAGACAGUGCUUAAGUGCAUAUAUCUUGGAAAGAAAUUGUUGCUUUCAGGUAUGUAUCCCAAGUGAGCAAAAAAGAAAAGGGAGUAAAAAUUAAAUAUUGCUUACUGUGGCAGUAAAUGAUUGCUGUGUUUGGUUUACAUAAAGCAAUAGCAGCUCUUAUAAAGUAUGUUUAGUCUCAGGGCUAUUUUUUGAUUUGUUCUAAAAUACAAUUUCCUGGAAUUCAGUGUCUGAGACUGUUGAAAAACACUGAGGCUGAGCUUUUUGGGAAGAAGGAAACAAAGUCAUAUCCAUUAACCUUUUCCUCUGCCUCAGGCCAAACUUCUUCUUGCUUGUUAAGAGAAUUCAGUGGUAGCACAGUAAUUCCUUGCUGAAGUAUUAUCUGUUCUCUCUCCCUGCCAUCUCUAAAAUGCUGAUUGAUGUCUUUACAGAAACUCAGUGCCAGUGAUGUCCGUAAUUCCUUGCUAAAUGUUUCCUUGCUGAGUGCUUGACAGCUCCUCCAUCAAGCUGAGAGGGCAAAGGAGGAUGUGUAGGAAGUCACCAGAGACUUGCAGUUACAGCAGUCAUUCCUGCAGGAUGACUUCUUGGGUGUCUUGAUUUCCAUUUGAUUUACUGUGUGCAGGCACACAGGUCUGCUGCUUUAAUUUGCAUGGUUGAAGGCAGAGCUGGUAUUUUUGAGAACCUUUUAUUAUUUUUUUCCUAUGUACAGACAUGCAAAGCUGUUAUCUUCUAGAACUGAUGCACGCUUACAUGCAUCUCCAGAAUAAAGCUUGUGUGUUGUUUUUACUUUUCCUCAUGAGAUUACUAUAACCUGCAAGAAAGAAAUAAAAGCACCUAAACACACAAGAACAUCAGGACUGUACUUUCUCCAUAUAAUUCCAUAGUGCAGGUGUGAACCCUUCAUCAGAUGACUUAGAUCCGAGCCAGGUUAUUAUAUGUUAAACCAAAAAUGUUCAUUUUUAGGAAAGGCAGUAGAAGUUAAGCCCUUCAUAACCUAGGGAGGUGAAAAGCACUGGGGAAAGCAAUUGAUUUUACUGUGAUUAAAGUGUUCUUUUAGAAUUGUAUACCCAUAUUUGGAAAAAUGGGUGUACAGGAAAACAAAGUUACCAAUCACUGCAAGAUGUACCUGUGUAUUUUCUUGAUGCGAGUUUGUAAGCAUUCAGCAUCUCUGAAAAUCAGUUCAACUCUUAGUGUUCUGUUUAUACAAAGAAUGACUUAUAUACAUUAUCUGGAAACUGUUACUUUGCAUGUCAAGUCGGGGGAGAAUGUUAACUACUCACAAGUGUUCUGUGAAAUUCCAGUCCUGUACCCCAGCUGAACUACAGCCGGCUCUUUCUGAAUGCUCCAAAUGGAAAUGGAGUCCGGUUACUGCUUGCUUGGUUUCAUUGCAUGUCAUCAGUAAAUACUUAAGGUAUGGUCUGUGUUUAAUAGUUCUUCAUUGGGAUUUGUAUUUGACUACAGAGACUUCUGUAGUGUUGACAGGUCUAUAGCAGAAGAGGACUUGGCCUGAUAACACUGCAAAUUAACAUUUAUUAUACAAACUUUUGGAACAACACUCUUUGGAAAAUCUGCUAAGCUAAAGAAAGAAAACAAACCUCAUCAUCCAUCCUAAUUGUCAAUGUACUGAUAGUUAAGAACAUAGCUUGGCUUCAUUCUAAAUUAUUUCUUAUAUUGAAAUGUGCAAUUUUUGAGAGUAGCAGUCAAGGGAUGUUCAAAACUGCCAUUAGAUUUGCCUUUGUAUGAAAUUGGCUGACAUGUUUUCCUCUGUUACACUGUGAUAACUUGUGGAGAUGUUCUUGCUUAUGUUGUACUGAUAGGUUACUUGUUGCAUGUAAAGCAAUUCUUGUAAGCAAGAGGAAUUCCAGGGAUGUUCUGUAAAAAAGGGCCUAUUCUAAGGUGAUGUACACUGUUGUAAAACUGGAGCAGCUCAACUAAUUUCAAUGGAAUUCUUGAUUUACACUAGUCUUUUUGCUAUGUGUAGUUAUGCCAGUACAAUUUUGCACAAUGUUAUUUGAAUAUUGCGUUCUGACUUGUGAACUGUUUCUACUGAAAACAGUGAAAAUUUUACAAACUGCAAUAGCGGAAUGUUUUUGGCCUUUUUUUUUUCUGUUUUUGCCU